AACGCCGGCGGCGUUGCUUCACACACGCAAGUUCGAACGACGAAGCUCUCGCUUCGCUAGGCGGUUCGUCGGCGAACGGGCGAGUAAUCACGUCGAGUCGACCUACCUCUGACUUCCGGGAUAAACCCGGGAAACUCGGGUCCUAAUACCGGAUACGACCAAUCUCCGCACGGGGCGUUCGGUGGAAAGCGUUAUGGAGUGGUUUUAGAUGGGCUCACGGCCUAUCAGCUUGUUGGUGAGGUAAUGGCUUACCAAGCGACGACGGGUGGCCGACCUGAGAGGGUGACCGGCCACACUGGGACUGAGACACGGCCCAGACUCCUACGGGAGGCAGCAGUGGGGAAUAUUGCACAAUGGGCGCAAGCCUGAUGCAGCGACGCCGCGUGAGGGAUGACGGCCUUCGGGUUGUAAACCUCUGUUAGCGUCGAAGAAGCGAAAGUGACGGUAGGUGCAGAGAAAGCGCCGGCUAACUACGUGCCAGCAGCCGCGGUAAUACGUAGGGCGCGAGCGUUGUCCGGAAUUAUUGGGCGUAAAGAGCUUGUAGGCGGUUGGUCGCGUCUGCUGUGAAAGGCUGGGGCUUAACCCUGGUUUUGCAGUGGGUACGGGCUAACUAGAGUGCAGUAGGGGAGACUGGAAUUCCUGGUGUAGCGGUGGAAUGCGCAGAUAUCAGGAGGAACACCGAUGGCGAAGGCAGGUCUCUGGGCUGUAACUGACGCUGAGAAGCGAAAGCAUGGGGAGCGAACAGGAUUAGAUACCCUGGUAGUCCAUGCCGUAAACGUUGGGCACUAGGUGUGGGGGACAUUCCACGUUUUCCGCGCCGUAGCUAACGCAUUAAGUGCCCCGCCUGGGGAGUACGGCCGCAAGGCUAAAAACUCAAAAGAAAUUGACGGGGGCCCGCACAAGCGGCGGAGCAUGCGGAUUAAUUCGAUGCAAACGCGAAGAACCUUACCAAGGCUUGACAUAUACUGGACUGCGUUCAGAGAUGGCGUUUCCCUUCGGGGCUGGUAUACAGGUGGUGCAUGGUUGUCGUCAGCUCGUGUCGUGAGAUGUUGGGUUAAGUCCCGCAACGAGCGCGAACCCUCGUUCUAUGUUGCCAGCACGUGAUGGUGGGAACUCAUAGGAGACUGCCGGGGUCGAACUCGGAGGAAGGUGGGGAUGACGUCGAAUCAUCGUGCCCCUUAUGUCUUGGGCUUCGCGCGUGCUACGAUGGCCGGUACGGAGGGGUUGCGAUACUGUGAGGUGGAGCUAUCCCCUAAAAGCCGGUCUCGGUUUCGGAUUGGGGUCUGCACCUCGAACCCCGUGAAAGUCGGGGUCGCUAGUGAAUCGCGGAUCGGCAACGCUGCGGUAAUGACGUUUCCCGGGUCUUGU
rnacentral:rRNA from 1 species